GCAGUACGGUGGCGCAUGGUUAGCACUACUGCCUCACAACAAGCAGAUCGUGGGUUCGAAUCCGACCUGGGGCG